rnacentral:lncRNA from 1 species
GGUGUGCCUGACCAUGCUUGCAAGAUCGUGGUCAGGGUGAUGUAGAGUGAGACUUUCAGGGGACUGCAUUUCUCUUUCGGUUUCACUUUUGUACUUGCUGGACAGACUGCUGCCACGCCGGCUGGCUAGGUUGCUCUGGUCUGCGUAUGUCACACAGGUUGGCUUGGAACUAUGUAACCCAGGCUGCCUUAGCCUCCAAGAUGUGUUUAAAUUACAGGCAUGAACCACCACAACCCUCCACCUCUGUUUUCUCUCAGAAUAAACACAUCCAGAAAAACAAGCAAAUGAGACAGUAUUACUUAAAUCUAAUGCUCCUGCCUCUCCUUUCUAUAUGCUGAAAUUAUAGGGUUUCAAAAACUACAUUGGACAGGAUGAAAGAAAAGGGACUGAAUAAUUUAAAUAUGAAAGUGUCCAGAAGACUCAUGCAUAUGGGAGGAAAAGAGAAGACACAGAUUACUAUGGUCAAGAAUACUGGAAUUCAAGACAUCCAAAGUUCCUGACUGUGCUCUCAAAAGAUGUGACUCAAGAUGCAGAUAGAGAUGGUUGAAGUGUGAGAAGCC